rnacentral:rRNA from 1 species
GACGAACGCUGGCGGCGUGCCUAAUACAUGCAAGUAGCACGCAGUUGCGAACGGGUGAGUAACGUGUAGGUAACUGCCUCAUAGCGGGGGAUAACUAUUGGAACCGUUAGCUAAUACCUCAUACUGUGAGAUAUACCUGCGUUGUAUUAGGUAGUUUGUGUGGUAAAGGAUCACCAAGGCGACGAUACAUUGCCGACCUGAGAGGGUGAUCGACCCCCCAGGGACUGGGAAACGGCCCAGACUCCUACGGGAGGCAGCAAGAGGGGAUCAUAGGCAAAGGACGGAAGUCUGAACGAGCACAGCCGCGUGAGUGAAGAAGGUCUUCGGAUCGUAAAGCUACGUUGUGAGAGGAGCGGUACCUAACGAGAAAGGGACGGCUAACUACGUGCCAGCAGCCGCGGUAAUUC